rnacentral:rRNA from 1 species
AGUGAACGCUGGCGGUAGGCCUAACACAUGCAAGUCGAACGGCAGCACAGUAAGAGCUUGCUCUUACGGGUGGCGAGUGGCGGACGGGUGAGGAAUACAUCGGAAUCUACUUUUUCGUGGGGGAUAACGUAGGGAAACUUACGCUAAUACCGCAUACGACCUACGGGUGAAAGCAGGGGAUCUUCGGACCUUGCGCGAUUGAAUGAGCCGAUGUCGGAUUAGCUAGUUGGCGGGGUAAAGGCCCACCAAGGCGACGAUCCGUAGCUGGUCUGAGAGGAUGAGUAGGCACACUGAGAAUGAGACACGGUCAAGAAGCCGACGGGAGGCACCAGUCGGGAAUAUUGGACAAAGGGCGAAAGCUUGAUCCAGCACGGCGGCGUGUGUGAAGAAGGUCGUCGGGUUGUAAAGCCCGUUAAGUUGGGAGGAAGGGAAGUAAGGUAACAAAUUGCUGUUUUGAAGCGACCAAAAGAAUAAGGACCGGCUAAGUCCGUG